CAGGGCCCGGCUAGCUCAGUCGGUAGAG
rnacentral:piRNA from 1 species